GUGUUCUUCGGGUGCCUAUCUCCCAGGACUUGAGGAGGAACUCUCUAUGGGGUCUUUCAAAAGGAUGUUUUUGAGAAUUUUCAAUGAGAGAGUGCUGAGAGUAGUUCAAGCUUAACAGUUCAGAUAUACUUUGCAUAGUUUCAAAAAUGUCAGAGCUCCACAGAAUAUGAUGUUUAAUGUUAUUUGAUCAUCUAAUGCUGAGACUUAUAUGCUCCUGACAGCACCCUCUUUCUUCAGUUCAAAGAAGAUACUGAGCAUCUUCACCUCCAGGUGAGGUUGUUUAUCUUGGCAAGGUAGCCACUUGUCAGAAAUUGCCCAUUUCUUCUACAGACCUAUACUGUCCAUGAGAGGACACAAGGGUCCAGGUACAGGAUAGUUGACAGCUUAGUUCUGCCAAGACAUGUAAGCUCCCCCAGCCAAAAGCCUGCUGAUUCAGACCUUGCCUUUGCCACAAAGCAGCUAGCCCACCAAGGGUAAGCCAAACAAAGCCCUUUUGUUCUGCCCCUUCCCUGCCUCUCUCAAAGUUCCUGCUAGGAGCUAUAUACCCUGCUGAGCUGCUUUGCCUGCCUCCAGGACUGAACAAGGAGGUGCCAAUUUGGCCACAAGAUCCUGGCUUACUGGGGAAUGGGUUUGCCUGCCUAUUUAAUUCUCAGAUUCAUAAUACGCAUUGGGCCUUGAUCAGGAACCAUGACUCAGUCUCAUUUUUUUCUCUUGCCAUCUGAUUCCCGUAUUUUCCCAGGUCCCUGCCUUUCUUCCAGAGACUCGGUUUGCAUAGCUGCUUGUGGCUACAGCAGUUGGCACUCUGAGAACAUGGAUCCUGAACACAAGGGCAUAGACACAGAGGACAGCACUGUCUUGGUGGAGCUCUACAGAAAAUGGAAGAAAAUAGUAUACCCUCCCACACGGGACCGGAUUUGUAUAGCUGCUUGUGGCUACAACAAAGACAGAAUAAGCUAGUCCUUCAUAAUUCCUGUUUCACAAGUUCUGUCAGUUGGUCCUGGGCCAGAAGGCUACAGAUUGAUGCUACAACAUGUUGCAGACGGAGGGACUGUCCAGAGGAUAUAACGGAUAUAACAAAGCUGCUAAAGUGGCAAACCCCAGGAUCCAGAGUCUACAGAACCCGGCCGUCCCCAGAAAUUCUCUUACCUGGCGAGGUGUGGUUGGGGUCGCGGUCUGCAUCACUGUUCGUUUCCGGGCUUCUGUAAGCCAAUGCUGUCCGUCUUUCAGGGCAUAUCCCAAGUAGGUCACCUCAGUCUGGCAUAAUUGUGCCUUUUUGGUUGAAACCCGGUACCCCAACUCCCCUAACUCAGCCAGGAGCUUCUGUGUCCCAAGUUUGCAUUGUUCAUGUGUUUCUGAGGCUAACAAAAGUUCAUCUACAUAUUGCAAGAGAGUUACCUGGGGGUUAUUAGUCCAGAAAGAGGCGAGGUCCCGAUGCAAGGCCUCAUCGAACAGGGUGGGUGAAUUCUUAAACCCUUGAGGCAAUCUUGUCCAUGUGAGCUGUCCUGUUCUUCCGUUUUCUGGGUCUCGCCAUUCAAAGGCAAACAGGGUCUGGCUAAUAGGGUGUAGCCUCAGACAAAAGAAAGCAUCCUUGAAGUCUAGGACUGUAUACCACACUUGUUCAGGUGGCAAAGUACUAAGUAGGUUGUAAGGGUUUGGCACUGUGGAAUGUAUGUCUUGCACUCUCUUAUUGACUUCCCUGAGGUCCUGUACUGGACGAUAGUCAUUCAUCUCUGGCUUCUUUACUGGGAGUAAUGGAGUGUUCCAUGGAGAUUUAAAGGGAAUUAGGAUUCCUUGUUGAAGCAACCUGUCAAUAUGUGGGCGUAUGCCCUCUCGAGCUUCUUUGCUCAUAGGGUAUUAUAGAACUCCUAUAGGAGUGGCUCUAGACUUGAGUUUGACUACUACUGGGGGGCUUGUUUUGCCAUUCCCAUCCCCCCUGUUUCAGCCCAAGCCUGAGGGAAUUGUUCAAGCCAAUUCUGCAAUUCACCGAUGGUUUUUUUUUGGUUUGCUUUGAUAGAGCCGACAUUCUUCUCCUAAUUGUAGAGAGAGUGCUAGGGUCUGGGGCACUUCAGUUCCCCCGGAAAAUUCUGGUCCAGAGGGGGCAAAUGUAAUUUGAGCUUUUAAUUUUGUCAGUAAUUCUCUCCCUAGUAAAGGCGUAGGGCAUUCAGGGAUAACCAAAAAUGAGUGAGUUACUUGGUUCUUUCCUAGAUCUACAACCCUAGAAGUAGACCAUGGGUACAGUUUUUGUCCUGUAGCCCCAAUCACAAGUGUCUUUUUAUCUUUCACCCUUCCCAAAGGAGUUUUUUAAACUGAGUAUUCUGCUCCUGUAUCGACCAGGAAGCUUAUAGGGGUCCCCUCCACCUUCAAGUUUACCCUAGGCUCCGGGAGGGGAGCCGAGCCCCAUUUUUCCUAAUCUUCAUCACUCCCAAGUACCAGUAUUUUGGUCCUGUGCUUUUUCUUUGGGAAUUCUCUGGCCCAAUGGCCCUUAUCUUUGCAAUAUGAGCAUUGGUCUUGUUCAAGGGGUGGUCUCGGUCACUCUCUUCCGGUUCUCCUUGACCCCUGCCUUCUCUCGCCACCCAGGUCCCCUGUCUGCCUGGUCCUCUCUAUUUUAUUCCUAUCUCUAUCAACCACUGCGGCCAGUAUUCCAGUCAAAUUCUCUUCCUAUCUCCUGUCCCUCCUGUCCUCUUCUUCCCUUUUCUCCCUCUUUUCCCUUUCCUUUUUCUCCUCUUCUGUCUCCCUUUUAUGAUACACUUUCUCAGCCUCCUUGACCACAUCUCGCAGGGUAAAGUCAUACAACCCUUCUAUCCUUUGCAACUUCUUCCUGAGGUCAGGAGCAGCUUGAUGAAUAAAAUCCAUGAUCACC